rnacentral:misc_RNA from 1 species
GAUGAAGAACGUAGCGAAAUGCGAUACUUGGUGUGAAUUGCAGAAUCCCGUGAACCAUCGAGUCUUUGAACGCAAGUUGCGCCCGAAGCCACUAGGCCGAGGGCACGCCUGCCUGGGCGUCACACGUCGUUGCCCCCCCCCAUCUACUCCUUCGGGAUUGCGGGGGGCGGAUGAUGGCCUCCCGUGCGCCUAGCCGCGCGGUUGGCAUAAAUACCAAGUCCUCGGCGACGCACGCCACGACAAUCGGUGGUUGCGAAACCUCGGUUGCCCGUCGUGUGCGUUCGUCGCGCAUCGAGGGCUCGAAAAAUGCUCGGCUCCGGCUCGGCUUUCAACGCGACCCCAGGUCAGGCGGGGUUACCCGCUGAAUUUAAGCAUAUCAAUAAGCGGAGGA